ACUAUUCUUUUCAUAGAGCAGUUAGGAAACACUCUGUUUGUAAAGUCUGCAAGUGGAUAUUUUGACCUCUUUGAGGCCUUCGUUGGAAACGGGUUUUUUUCAUGUAAGGCUAGACAGAAGAAUUCUUAGUAACUUCCUUGUGUUGUGUGUGUUCAACUCACAGAGUUGAACGUUUCUUUAGACAGAGCAGAUUUGAAACACUGUUUUUGUGGAAUUUGCAAGUGGAGAUUUCA
rnacentral:lncRNA from 10 species